CCCCUGUUACAGCAAGAACCAUAAAUACACUUUCCCCGGCUCCCAAGCCCUUCUCUCCAAAGCUCGCAGAGUCCCCGGUGCCGCAGCACCCCCGUGCCGCUCGGCCAAGCCCCGCCGGCUCCCGGGGUAGGCGGCACCGCCGGGCUGGACGUGCCGAGCACGGGUGAACUUUCCUGCUCUGCCUGGUGCUGGCUGGAACACCCGGUCACGUCCCCCCCCAGCCCGGGUCAUGCAUGUGCACCCACAAAACCUGGGCACAUCACCUCAGGGGAGCCCAGUGGGCCAAGCCUGGGCUAACUGGGGUGCAAGGGGGGCUCUUCACGCUAAAACACGGGGGGUCUGCUUGCAACAGCAGGGCUUCUCUCAUGCCGGGGGAGAUUUCCCCAGGAAGCAGCGAUUUGCCCUCAAGCAAGGAGCAGGGGUUGGAAGCAGGCCUUCCCCAGCUUGUUUCCUGGGGAUGGGCAGGGGAUGGAUGACUAAGGGACAGCAGCAGAGGUUCGCCUGCAGGAAGAUUCACUCACAGAUACCCAAGUGCUGAUGCUGAGAGGGCUCCUGAGCAGGGAAUGAGGACACACAGGAAGCCACAUUAAGCACGAGUCAGCAGGGAAGGCCGGUAUCAAGAAGUCCCUCUGGCCUGCGCAAGGCAGCGAUUGCAACACGGGGCUGUUGCCUCACAGCAGGCGUUGUGUUUGUCCAGGGAAGAGAGAGGCAGCAAUCCCAGGCAAGCCUCUUCCACCUGCAACCCUGCUCAGCAGAACAGAGGCUUGAUGGGACACGCAGCAUAAUGGGAACCUGAAUCCAUUCAGUCCCAGAUUCCCAGUGACACCUUGGGAUGUGCCCUCUCCUGGCCCUGCAUUCAAGGGGAACCUUAACAAGAACCUUUGCCACGGAGAAAAAUGAAACACGCAAACUUA